UGAAUUCAACUUUUAUUAUUUAGAACCUGGAAAGAUAUGGAGUAGAUUAGCAUGGUCCCUACACAAGGAUGACACAUAAGUUCACGAAACAUUCCAUAUUCUU